ensembl:lncRNA
GGUGGAGACCAGCAUUUUCUCAUCAGCUCAUCAUGAUAUUCUAAUCCAGUGGGAGAUUAAAAUAGCCCUGUUUCCUAAUAUCCUCCAGAGGGCCGUGGAAAGGACCAUGGCCUCUCCCUAGCUAGCACAGCUUGUUCCCCAGCCACACUCUCCACCCAGAGCCCUGCCAAGGACACCCACCUGCAGCCCUACUUGUCUUAGCCAUGUAGGGACAGACCCACAGCAUCGGACGCAUGGAGUGAGGAUUUUAGUAGAGUUAAGGAGAGGAGGAGUGGAAAAGGGGGGAAGGGAAAGAGAGGAGGAGGAGGUUGACUCUCUCCCCCAUAUCUCUCUUUCUCUCUCUCAAUUUCAAUUUCAAUUUCAAUUUAAGGGUUUUUUAUUGGCAUGGGAAAUAUAUGGAAUGGUGCCGGAGGGGAUUGGCUGCUGUUUCACAGGCUCCUUAUCAACUGUGCUAUUUUGUGUGUUUUUCACAUUAUUUGUAACUUAUUUUGUACAUAAUGUUGGUGCUACUGUCUCGAAAGGUGCUUCUGGAUGUCAGAACAGCGAUUAUUCACAUCGAACUGGACAAAGAUCUUUUCUUUAAUGCGUCCGACGUGAAGGAUAUACCGUUUCUUCGAGACCAGGCCCAAAUCCCCGUCAUUCGCGUAAAGAAUACAUGUAGGUACAGCGGGCGUAGAUCGGGGUGCCUUGUGAGAAUUCGCCAGGGAGAGGGUAACCCGCCUCUACUAUCCGUUCUUGGCCAAUGAGCAAUCACUGGAGAAUAAACUAGAUGAGCUCCGUUCGAGACUAUCCUACCAACCGGACAUUAAAACCUGUACUAUCUUAUGUUUCACAAGUCGUGGCUGAACGACGACACAUAUAAUAUACAGUUGGCUGGGUUUUCCAUGCAUCGGCAGGACAGAACAGCUACGUCUGGCAAGACGAGGGGUGGUGGUGUGUGUCUGUAUGUCAACAGCUGGUGUGCGAUGUCUAACAUUAAGGAAGUAUCGAGGUAUUGCUCGCCUGAGAUAGAGUAUCUCAUGAUAAGCUGUAGACCACACCAUCUAUCAAGAGAAUUUUCAUCUACAUUUUUUGGAGCUGUCUAUUUAUCACAACAAACCGAUGCUGGCACUAAGACAGCACUUAACGAGAUGUAUAAGGCCAUAAGCAAAUAAGAAAAUGUUAAUCCAGAAGCGGCGCUCCUAGUGUCCGGAGACUUUAAUGCAGGCCAACUUAAAUCCAUUUUACCUAAUUUCUACCAGCAUGUGCAACCAGAGAAAAAAAAACCUCUAGAACAUCUUUACUCCACACACAGAGACACAAACAAAGCUCUCCCUCGCCCUCCAUUUAGCAAAUCUGACUGUAAUUCUAUUCUCCUGAUUCCUGCUUACAAGCAAAAACUAAAGCAGGAAGUACCAGUGACUCGCUCAAUACGGAAGUGGUCAGAUGACAUGGAUGCUAAGCUACAGGCCUGGUUUGCUAGCACAGACUGGAAUAUGUUCAAGGAUUCAUCCAAUGGCAUUGAGGAGUACACCACAUCAGUAACCGGCUUCAUCAAUAAGUGCAUUGACAACGUCAUCCCCACAGUGACCGUACGUACAAAUCACAACCAGAUGCCAUGGAUUACAGGCAACAUCCACACCGAGCUAAAGGCUGUAGCUGCCGCUUUCAAGGAGUGGGAGACUAUUCCGGAUGCUUAUAAGAAAUUCCGUUAGGCCCUCAGCCAAACCAUCAAACAGGCAAAGCGUCAAUACAGGACUAAGAUUGAAUCCUACUACAACGGCUCUGACACUCGUCGGAUGUGCAAACUAUUGUGGACCACAAAGGGAAACCCAGCAGCGAGUUGCCCAGUGACACGAGUCUACCAGACGGGCUAAAUUCCUUUUAUGCCUUCUUCGAGGCAAGCAAAACUGAAGCAUGCAUGAGAGCACCAGCUGUUCAGGAAGACUGUGUAAUCACGCUGUCCGUAGCAGAUGUGAGCGAGACCUUUAAACAGGUCAACAUUCACAAGGCCGCAGGGCCAGACAGAUUACCAGGACAUGUUCUUAGAGCAGGCAUGGACCAACUGGCAAGUGUCUCACUGACAUUUUCAACCUCUCCCUGACCGAGUGUGUAAUACCUACAUGUUUCAAGCAGCCAACCAUAGUCCCUGUGGCUGUCACGCCCUGACCUUAGUUAUCUUUGUUUUCUUUAUUAUUUUGGUUAGGUCAGGGUGUGACGAGGGUGGUAUGUGUGUUUUUGUGGUUUUUGUACAUCUAUGGGGUUUUGGAUUUGUCUAGGUAAAUGUACGUCUAUGGUGGCCUGAAUUGGUUCCCAAUCAAAGGCAGCUGUUUAUCGUUGUCUCUGAUUGGGGAUCCUAUUUAGGUUGGCAUUUUCCAUUUUGGUUUUGUGGGUUAUUGUCUAUGUGUAGUUGCCUGUCAGCACUCGGUUUAUAUAGCUUCACGUUCAUUUUGUUAGUUUGUUUAGUGUUCAAUCGUUAUUAAAAUAAGUAUGUAUUCAUAUCACGCUUCGCCUUGGUCUCAUCAAUACAACGAACGUGACAGUGGCCAAAAAACUGAAGGUAGCCUGCCUAAAUGACUACUGCCCAGUAGCACUCAAUUCGGUAGCCAUGAAGUGCUUUGAAAGGCUGGUCAUUGCUCACAUCAACACCACCAUCCCGGAAACGUUAGACUCACUCCAAUUGGCAUUCCGCCCCAACAUAACGCCCCUCGGGAGUGCGUGCUUAGUCACCUCCUGUACUCCCUGUUCACCCAUGACUGCAUGGCCAGGCACAACUCCAACACCAUCAUUAAGUUUGCUGAUGACACAGCGGUGGUAGGCCUGAAACCUGAGUCCAGACACCUGGCCGUGUGGUGCCUGGACAACAAACUCUCCAUCAACAUGAGCAAGACAAAGGAGAUGACCGUGGACUACAGGAAAAGGAGGGCCGAACAUGCCCCCAUCGACCGGGCUGUAGUGGAGCGGGUCAAGAGUUUAAAGUUCCUUGGUGUCCACAUCACCAACAAACUAUCAUGGUCCCAACACACCAAGAAAGUCAUUCAGAGGGCAUGACAAUGCCUUUUCCCCCUCAGGAGACUGAAAAGAUUUGUCAUGGAUCCCCAGAUCCUCAAAAAGUUCUACAGCUGCACCAUCGAGAGCUUCCUGACCGUUUGCAUCACCUCCUGUUAUGAUAACAGCUAGGCAUCCGACUGUAAGGUGCUACAGAGAGUGGUGAGUACGGCCCAGUACAUCACUGGUGCCAAACUUCCUGCCAUCCAGGACCUAUAUACUAGGCAGUGUCAGAGGAAGGGACAAAAAAUUGUCAAAGACUCCAGUCAUCCAAGUCAUAGACUGUUCUCGCUGCUACCACAUGGAAAGCGUUACCGGAGAACCAAGUCUAUGUUCAAAAGGCUCCUUAAUAGCUUCUACCCCAAAGCCAUAACGGUAAUGCUUGCCGUCUGGGGAAGUAGAGGAGGACCAAGGUGCAGCAUGGUAAGUGUUCAUAUUAUUUAAUGAAAUAUGCAACACUAGACAAAACAACAAACACGACAAACAAACAGUCCUGAAAGGUGAAACAAAAACACUAAACAGGAAACAACCACCCACAAAACACAAUGGAAAACAGGCUACCUAAAUAUGGUUCACAAUCAGGGACAACGAUUGACAGCUGCCUCUGAUUGAGAACCAUACCAGGCCAAACACAGAAAUAGAGAAUCAUAGACAAACUAACAUAGACAACCCACCCAACUCACGCCCUGACCAUACUAAAACAAAAGACAAAACAAAGGAACUAAGGUCAGAACGUGACAAUAACACUGCUGAACAAUUGAUCAAAUGGCCACCUGGACUAAAUAGUCCCUCACCUUUGUUUUUACACUGCUGCUCGCUGUUUAUUAUCUAUGCAUAGUCACUUUACCCCUACCUACAUGUACAAAUUACAUCAACUAACCUGUACCCCUCCACAUUGACUCGGUAACGGUACCUCCUGUAUAUAGCCUCAUCACUGUUAUUUUAUUAACUUUUUAUUUGAUUUUUUACUUCAGGUUAUUUAGUAAAUAUUUUCUUAACUCUAUUUCUUGAACUGCAUUGUUGGUUAAGGGCUUGUAAGAAAGCAUUUCACGGUAAGGUCUACACCUGUGGUAUUCGGCGGAUGUGACAAAUAGAUAAUAAACAAAAGUGAAAUAAACAAUAAAAUGAACAGUAAACAUUACACUCACAAAAGUUCCCACAAUGUUGUAACGAUGUGCAAAUAGUUAAAGAACAAAAUAGAAAAUAAAUCAACAUAAAUAAGGGUUGUAUUUACAAUGUUGUUUGUUCUUUACUGGUUGCCAUUUUCUCGUGGCAACAGGUCACAAAUCUUGGUAUUUCACCCAAUAGAUAUGGGAGUUUAUCAAAAUUGGGUUUGUUUUCGAAUUAUUUGUGGGUCUUUGUAAUCUCAGGGAAAUAUGUGUCUCUAAUAUGGUCAUACAUUUGGCAGGAGGUUAGGAAGUGCAGCUCAGGUUCCACCUCAUUUUGUGGGCAGUGCGCACAUAGCCUGUCUUCUCUUGAGAGCCAGGUCUGCCUACGGUGGCCUUUCUCAAUAGCAAGGCUAUGCUCACUGAGUCUGUACAAAGUCAAAGCUUUCCUUAAUUGUAGGUCAGUCACAGUGGUCAGGUAUUCUGUUUGCUCUGUUUUUUUGUUAAUUCUUUCCAAUGUGUCAAGUAAUUAUCUUUUUGUUUUCUCAUGGUUUGGUUGGGUCUAAUUGUGUUGCUGUCCUGGAGGUCUAAUUGUGUUGCUGUCCUGGAAAUCUGUGGGGUAUGUUUGUGUUUGUGAAAAGAGCCCCAGGACCAGCUUGCUUAGGGUCUCUUCUCCAGGUUCAACUCUCUGUAGGUGAUGGCUUUGUUAUGGAAGGUUUGGGAAUCGCUGCCUUUUAGGUGGUUGUAGAAUUUAACGGCUCUUUUCUGGAUUUUGAUAGUUAGCGGGUAUCAGCCUAAUUCUGCUCCGCAUGCAUUAUUUGGUGUUUUACGUUGUACACAGAGGAUAUUUUUUGUACAGUUCUGCAUGCACAGUCUCAAUUUGGUGUUUGUCCCAUUAUGUGAAUUCUUGUUUGGUGAGCAGACCCCAGACCUCACAACCAUAUAGGGCAAUGGGUUCUAUAACUGAUUCAAUUUGAUGUUCCUUUUGAUGUCAUUGAAUGCCCUUCCUGCCUUGUUUCUCAGAUCGUUCACAGCUUUGUGAACGAUCUGAACUUACUCUAAAGAACUUCUCCUCUGCAGCAGAGAUAACUCUGGGUCUUCCUUUCCUGUGGCGGUCCUCAAGAGAGACAGUUUCAACAUAGCGCUUGAUGGUUUUCACGACUGCACUUAAAAAUAAAUUUUGAGUCAUUAAAAUUUUCCGGAUUGACUGACCUUCAUGUCUUCAAGUAAUGAUGGACUGUCAUUUCUCUUUGCUUAUUUCAGCUGUUCUUGCCAUAAUAUGGAGAAUGCCAAGAGUGUGCAGAGCCGCCAUCAAGGCAAAGUGCCGCUGAUAUUUAGCCAAAGGUAUAUAUAGUUUUUUGUGUGCUCUAGGGCAACGGUGUCUAGAAUGGAAUUUGUAUUUGUUGUCCUGACCUUUUUGGAACACCAUUAUUUUUGUCUUACUGAGGUUUACUGUCAGGGCCUUGGUUGGGGACAGAAGAACCAGGUCAUCAGUAGACAUUUGACUUCAGAUUCUAUUUGGGUGAGGCCGGAUGCUGCAGACUGUUCUUGUGCCCUCGCCAAUUCGUUGAUAUAUAUUUUGAAGAGGGUGGGGCUUAAGCUGCAUCCUUGUCUCACCCCACGACCCUGUGGAAAGAAAUGUGUGUGUUUUUUGCCCAUUUUAACCACACACAUUUUGUUUGUGUACAUGGAUUUUAUAAUGUGGUAUGUUUUUCACCCAACACCACUGUCCAUCAGUUUGUAUAGCAGACACUCAUGCCAAAUUGCAUCAAAAGCUUUUUUGAAAUCGACAAAGCAUGAUGCUCUCGAUGGCUAAAGAGAAAUGUUCCUGCACGUGUUCAAAGGGGCCCAUGUCUUUGUCUCCCUGCUGUGAAAACUGUUAUGUGACUUCCUUGGAGUCCAAAGGUAUGAACACUGAGCAUUAUGAUGGAAGCCUAUCCAGUCGAGGAAGGGAAUCUAUAUUUUGGAGAGGCAGCAGGGUGCACUGCAACUGUCUACACUGUCCCCUGGUUCCUGGUUAUUUUCCUUCCUAACAGGCAGAGGAUUGGGGCCUCAGAGGCAUUGGACACAGCUGAGUAGACUGGACAGGAAACAGUCGGCCUUACAAGGGAUUGAUCAAGUCAGCCCAGAGAGAGAACACACACAUGCACAUACACACACACCGCAGACUAUGAUUAAAAACCAGUUGUUCCUGAUCCAAUAAGCCAGGCUGAAAGAGAACUCUAAUUAAACAUAGGUGGCAUGGCAACGCUACACAUGUUGGGUUGUGUUAUGCCCUAUGACGAGCCAUGAACUAUGAACUGUUCUGUAUGUUUUGUUGCUGUAAUGAAUACCACUGCAAGGCCUGUGUGUUAGUGCUGUGUUACUGCUGUGUGUUCAUUUGCCUGAAUUUGUUUCUAGUCGGCCUAUAAACAGGCCAUGGCCACUGGCAUGUCUCUGGUGAUACUGAUAGAAAGAGUUAUCCUGACCUCUCUGCUGUGGCUGUACACUUAUCAUGAGCCAGGACACUCACACUGAGGAGAGGGUAGAGAGG